rnacentral:rRNA from 1 species
AGUGAACGCUGGCGGUAGGCCUAACGCAUGCAAGUCGAACGGCAGCACAGUAAGAGCUUGCUCUUACGGGUGGCGAGUGGCGGACGGGUGAGGAGUACAUCGGAAUCUACUUUUUCGUGGGGGAUAACGUAGGGAAACUUACGCUAAUACCGCAUACGACCUACGGGUGAAAGCAGGGGAUCUUCGGACCUUGCGCGAUUGAAUGAGCCGAUGUCGGAUUAGCUAGUUGGCGGGGUAAAGGCCCACCAAGGCGACGAUCCGUAGCUGGUCUGAGAGGAUGAUCAGCCACACUGGAACUGAGACACGGUCCAGACUCCUACGGGAGGCAGCAGUGGGGAAUAUUGGACAAUGGGCGCAAGCCUGAUCCAGCCAUACCGCGUGGGUGAAGAAGGCCUUCGGGUUGUAAAGCCCUUUUGUUGGGAAAGAAAAGCAGCAGGUUAAUACCCCGCUGUUCUGACGGUACCCAAAGAAUAAGCACCGGCUAACUUCGUG